GUCGGAAUUGCUAGUAAUCGCGGAUCAGCAUGCCGCGGUGAAUACGUUCCCGGGCCUUGUACACACCGCCCGUCACACCAUGGGAGCCGGUAAUACCCGAAGUCAGUAGUCCAACCUCGUGAGGACGCUGCCGAAGGUAGGAUUGGCGACUGGGGUGAAGUCGUAACAAGGUAGC
rnacentral:rRNA from 1 species